GGGAGCAUAGCUCAGUUGGUGCAGAGCGUCUGCCUUACACGCAGAGGGGCGGGGGUUCGACUCCCUCUGCUCCCA
rnacentral:tRNA from 1 species